rnacentral:rRNA from 1 species
GAUGAACGCUAGCGGCAGGCCUAACACAUGCAAGUCGAGGGGUGGCAGGAUUAAGCUUGCUUAAUUGCUGACGACCGGCGCACGGGUGCGUAACGCGUAUGCAACCUACCUUAUACCGGGGUAUAGCCCGGAGAAAUUCGGAUUAAUCCCCCAUAGUACUAAUGAAUCGCAUGGUUUAUUAGUUAAAGCAUUGCGGUAUAAGAUGGGCAUGCGUCCUAUUAGCUAGAUGGUGAGGUAACGGCUCACCAUGGCUACGAUAGGUAGGGGGCCUGAGAGGGUGGUCCCCCACACUGGUACUGAGACACGGACCAGACUCCUACGGGAGGCAGCAGUGAGGAAUAUUGGUCAAUGGGCGCAAGCCUGAACCAGCCAUGCCGCGUGCAGGAAGAAUGCCCUAUGGGUUGUAAACUGCUUUUAUUUGGGAAUAAACCUCUUUACGUGUAGAGAGCUGAAGGUACCAAAUGAAUAAGCACCGGCUAACUCCGUGCCAGCAGCCGCCGUAA